CACAUGCAAGUCUCAGCACUCCAGUGAGGACACCCUUAUAACCUUUAAAAGGUCAAGGAGCCGGCAUCAGGCACAAAACUUUUGCCCAUAACGCCUAGUCCUACCACACCCCUAAGGGAACUCAGCAGUGAUUAACAUUGCCCAUAAGCGUCAGCUUGAACCAAUUAGAAAAGACAGAGCCGGCAAACCAAGUGCCAGCCGCCGCGGCUAUACCGAUGGCUCAAGCUGAUAAUAGUCGGCGUUAAGCGUGAUUAAAGAUACCCUAAUUAGAGUUAAACCCAAGCUCGGUUGUAAUAAGCCUGCCCUGAGAAGACCAUAAUCGAAAGUUACUCUAAUGACCAACUCUUGAAUACAC
rnacentral:rRNA from 1 species